rnacentral:siRNA from 1 species
UAUACUGAAGAUUUGUUGCUG